GGACACGUGGGUGAGCGGCUGAAACCACCUCCCUGCUAAGGAGGCAAGGGCCUCACGGUCCUUCGAGGGUUCGAAUCCCUCCGUGUCCUCCA
rnacentral:tRNA from 1 species